CUUGCACCAUGUCAUAAUGGAAAGAGUAAUAAGAAUAACCUUUGUCUGUGGCUCUAAUGGAAAGUGCAUAAUAUGUUUUCAGGCAUUGCAACAACAAUCUCGAGCAUCAGAUGAUUUUCAAGAAAUUGCCUCUGGAGCAAAAGAACUUUCUCAAAGAAAACUUAGCAUGGAUGCUGCAUUGGAGGAUAAGAUUUGUGACCCCUAUGACCUUUUUGUUGAUGGGCUGGAUGAAGAUGCAGGUCCCCAAAUAAGAAAGCUCUAUGCUGAGCUUCCAACAUGCUCUGUUUAAAGUUUCUGUACGAUGCAAUGUAACAUGAAGGCAGUUGAUCUAGGAUUUGAUUCUUCUUACUGCAGUAUUGGAGGAUUGUGGCCUAAUGGUUUCAUGGACAACCAUGGGAUCAAAUGCGUAAUUUGUCGGUCAAAAGAAAGACGGAGGGAGCAUCAGGUUUUGAUAUAAAUAAAUAAAUAUGCUGAGAGGAUGAAGGAGGAUGACAAGAAGAUGCCUGCAAUUUGGACGAGGAAAUCCUACUUUGGCAGCCUCAGAACCUGCCCCUGCCAGUGAUGCACUUACGUGGGAUUCUAUCAAGUUAGACUCAGAUUAAGUGAGUCAGAACUCAUGUAGUCCGCAGUUCAAAUAAGAGUAUAGUGUUUGUCUCCGUUCUUUGUGCCUUCUUGUUCACUCUUCACUUAAAAACAUUUUCUCCA